UCUCCGUAGGUGAACCUGCGGAGGGAUCAUCACAGAGUUCAUGCCCUACCGGGUAGAUCUCCCACCCUAUGUUAUUAUUACUUUGUUGCUUUGGCGGGCCGUUAGGCUCCGGCCCGACUACCGGCCCCGGCUGGUAAGCGCCCGCCAGAGGACCCAAAACCCUGAAUAUUAGUGUCGUCUGAGUACCAUAUAAUAGUUAAAACUUUCAACAACGGAUCUCUUGGUUCUG
rnacentral:misc_RNA from 1 species